UGAACGCUGGCGGCGUGCCUAAUACAUGCAAGUCGAGCGAACAGACGAGGAGCUUGCUCCUCUGACGUUAGCGGCGGACGGGUGAGUAACACGUGGAUAACCUACCUAUAAGACUGGGAUAACUUCGGGAAACCGGAGCUAAUACCGGAUAAUAUAUUGAACCGCAUGGUUCAAUAGUGAAAGACGGUUUUGCUGUCACUUAUAGAUGGAUCCGCGCCGCAUUAGCUAGUUGGUAAGGUAACGGCUUACCAAGGCAACGAUGCGUAGCCGACCUGAGAGGGUGAUCGGCCACACUGGAACUGAGACACGGUCCAGACUCCUACGGGAGGCAGCAGUAGGGAAUCUUCCGCAAUGGGCGAAAGCCUGACGGAGCAACGCCGCGUGAGUGAUGAAGGUCUUCGGAUCGUAAAACUCUGUUAUUAGGGAAGAACAAAUGUGUAAGUAACUAUGCACGUCUUGACGGUACCUAAUCAGAAAGCCACGGCUAACUACGUGCCAGCAGCCGCGGUAAUACGUAGGUGGCAAGCGUUAUCCGGAAUUAUUGGGCGUAAAGCGCGCGUAGGCGGUUUUUUAAGUCUGAUGUGAAAGCCCACGGCUCAACCGUGGAGGGUCAUUGGAAACUGGAAAACUUGAGUGCAGAAGAGGAAAGUGGAAUUCCAUGUGUAGCGGUGAAAUGCGCAGAGAUAUGGAGGAACACCAGUGGCGAAGGCGACUUUCUGGUCUGUAACUGACGCUGAUGUGCGAAAGCGUGGGGAUCAAACAGGAUUAGAUACCCUGGUAGUCCACGCCGUAAACGAUGAGUGCUAAGUGUUAGGGGGUUUCCGCCCCUUAGUGCUGCAGCUAACGCAUUAAGCACUCCGCCUG
rnacentral:rRNA from 1 species